UAGCAUGCGGUCCUUACUUAUUUUUGAUUUCUUGUAUGUUUUAGCUUUAAGUACUUUAUUGUGGCUUUUGCUGAUUUCAUUAUCAAUUUUACUUUCUGAAGUGACAGCACACCCGAGCCCAUGUCUCAGUGUCAAGAGUGAUUUUGCUGGACUUUAAAAGUUGACACUAUGCACUGCACUGUGAGCUCUGACUUGGAAGUUCCGAGUAAAGGUUGUAUCACGAGCUUUCUACAUGCCUGAACUGGAUAGGGGUGGAAUAUCUGCACUCAUGCAGAGGACACGGAAACUCUCAUUCCCCAUGAGACAUUUCAACAGGCCUAUUUGGAGUCCAGUGUUAGCAGUGGAGGAGCGACGUCCCUUCUUUGCCGCAGCUACUUCUACCUCCUUGUAGUGCUUAUGAUGGUAAGACAGUGAACAAUCAUCCUCCUGAUGGGUGUUUCUCAUCCUCAGCCUUAACAGGCGGUAUGGCAGACUGGUGAGUGUUUGUACUGGCUGGACUCCAGUCACCCCUGCACUGGUCACUUUCUUAUGUAGCUCAGGGGUCAACCUGACAGUCUGGGGCACUGUAA